rnacentral:rRNA from 1 species
CGCGUAGGUGGUUCGUUAAGUUGGAUGUGAAAUCCCCGGGCUCAACCUGGGAACUGCAUUCAAAACUGACGAGCUAGAGUAUGGUAGAGGGUGGUGGAAUUUCCUGUGUAGCGGUGAAAUGCGUAGAUAUAGGAAGGAACACCAGUGGCGAAGGCGACCACCUGGAAUCUUACUGACGCUGAGGUACGAAAGCGUGGGGAGCAAACAGGAUUAGAUACCCGUGUA